rnacentral:lncRNA from 1 species
UGAAAAUUAUUUGUAUAUUUUUGGUCAAAUAUUUGCUACCCAAAUUAUUUUGUUCCAUAUUGUUUAUUAGACUCUGCAUUUUAACACUAUGUACUACUUUGUUGUUGCAGGGAAAUAUACCGGGAUCUGUAGGGGGCAGAGAGAAAGAAAGACAGAGACGGAGAGAGCACAUUAUCACACAUAGUCAAAAGAUCUCCAAAUGCUUCGGGUCCCAUAUUAGGUAAUGAAUCUCCAGCAGAAAGCAAGUUAAUGAGAAAUAUAUUGACACACUGGUGUUACUGUGGACCUGUAGCAAGAACAGAAUAACAUCUGCUUACGGCAGGGAAAUAUACCGGGAUCUGUAGGGGGCAGAGAGAAAGAAAGACAGAGACGGAGAGAGCACAUUAUCACACAUAGUCAAAAGAUCUCCAAAUGCUUCGGGUCCCAUAUUAGUCGUUGUGCAUGUGAGGAACCCUUCAAUGAAGAAACCAUCCAGACUCAGCCUCAGACGGUACACCCGCAAUCCGUUCACGGUUCACUGACAAGACUAUAUCUGAAAAUUGCUAGUUCAAAUCUGAUUGGCUGACUUCAUGCAACUUCCAGGUGUGUUUACAAAGUACCAGAUUGACACAGUGAGCACUUCUGAGGAAGCGCUAAUCUCUGGAUUUGCUGAUGUUUGCCAGAUUAGUGGCAUCAGAACUUUAUAAGAUGAUCAGAGUUUUCUUUUGAGGCACUAAAUAGUAAGUUAACUAGGUGUGUGAGAAACUGCUGCUAUUAUUUAAUCUUUAUUUGUUUAAAAACACAGUAAAAUAUUGUGAAAUAUUACUGCAAUUUAAAAUAACUGUUUUCUAUUUUAAUAUACUUUAAAAUGUCAUUUAUUCCUGUGAUGGCAAAGCUGAAUUUUCAACAGCCAUUACUCUUAUCUUCACUGUCACAUGAUCAGUCAGAAAUCAUUUUAAUAUGCUGAUUUGGAAUCAUUUCUUGUUAUUAUCAAUGCCGAAAACAGAUGUUCUUCAUAAUAUUUUUGAGGAAACAGUGGGAAAAAAAAUUACACUGUUUUCCAGUGUUUUGUCACAUUUUAUAUAAAUAUUAUUAUUGUCGAUGAUCCUGCCCCAUGUAAAACCACUUUCUAUAACAUACAGUCUCUUCCUGUCUAAAUGGUUGGAAUAAAAUUUAGUGAGGAUCACUACAAAUCUGGCUGAUGUGAGCUAUGUGGGGGCCAUCUUGAAAAUGCCCCAGUGCAGUUAUUUUCUAUAGGCAUCAUACAAAUGGUGCCACUCUACUCAGACUAGGACUUUUUGUUGAUGUUUUAGUGCUUAACCUUACCAUGGUCAACUACACUGAUGGCUUUUUUUGUUACCAGAUUGAUUUUUGUUGUCAGUAGAUAUGGCUGAGCGCUGAAAAUAUGCGUAAGCUCAGCCAAAUCUCUUACCAACGUCAACCGCUGCUUAUUCUCAAAGUGCCACCAAGGGCUGUGUUACUUGUGGGCAU